rnacentral:misc_RNA from 1 species
AACGCACCUUGCGCUCCUUGGUAUUCCUCGGAGCAUGCCUGUUUGAGUAUCAUUAAACCCUCAAAAUAAAUCUUUUGUUCAUUCGAUCGAAUUUAUUUUGGACUUGGAGGUCUUGCAGAUUCACGUCUGCUCCUCUCAAAUGCAUUAGCUGGAUCUCUCAGUGAGCUCGGUUCCACUCGGCGUGAUAAAAAGAGUAUCACUCGCUGAGGACACUGUAAAAAAGUGGCCGGGAUUGCAGAUUAAACCGCUUCUAAUCGUCUAUUAGCUUAGACAAUUAAAAAAUUUAUGAUCUGAUCUCAAAUCAGGUAGGACUACCCGCUGAACUUAA